rnacentral:piRNA from 1 species
UUGCAUCCACGGUCGAACGGCCCUCCC